rnacentral:misc_RNA from 1 species
AACGGUCUAUACCUGCGGUACCUGCGGAGGGAUCAUUACAUGGCGGAGAAGGUGGGCAACCUGGCCAACAUCCAGGUUGUGAUGCCUUCACGCUCUUCCACCCUUGUCUAUUUGCACCUUCUGUCGUUCCCUCGGCGGGUUUCGACCCGCCGGCGGCAACAUUGAAAAACCCUUUUUGCAGUUAGCAUUCAAUUCUUCUGAUCAAAUAUUAAAUCAUUACAACUUUUAGCAAUGGAUCUC